rnacentral:rRNA from 1 species
UACAGAGGUCCCAAGCGUUACUCGGAAUUACUGGGCGUAAAGCGUGCGUAGGUGGUGAGUUAAGUCUGUCGUGAAAGCCCCGGGCUCAACCUGGGAAUGGCGAUGGAUACUGGCUCGCUAGAGUGCGGUAGAGGAGAGUGGAAUUCCCGGUGUAGCAGUGAAAUGCGUAGAGAUCGGGAGGAACAUCAGUUGCGAAGGCGGCUCUCUGGACCAGCACUGACACUGAGGCACGAAAGCGUGGGGAGCAAACAGG